rnacentral:rRNA from 1 species
UACGAGGGGGGCAAGCGUUGUUCGGAUUUAUUGGGCGUAAAGGGUGCGUAGGCGGUUUGGCAAGUCUUGUGUGAAAUCUUUGGGCUCAACCCAAAGUCUGCAUAAGAAACUGCCGGGCUUGAGUAUGGGAGAGGUGAGUGGAAUUUCCGGUGUAGCGGUGAAAUGCGUAGAUAUUGGGAGGAACACCAGUGGCGAAGGCGGCUCACUGGACUGGUACUGACGCUGAGGCGCGAAAGCUAGGGGAGCGAACAGG